GACGAACGCUGGCGGCGUGCUUAACACAUGCAAGUCGAACGGAAAGGCCCUGCUUUUGUGGGGUGCUCGAGUGGCGAACGGGUGAGUAACACGUGAGUAACCUGCCCUUGACUUUGGGAUAACUUCAGGAAACUGGGGCUAAUAUCGGAUAGGAGCUCCUGCUGCAUGGUGGGGGUUGGAAAGUGUCGGCGGUUGGGGCUGGACUCGCGGCUUAUCAGCUUGUUGGUGGGGUUGUGGCUUACCAAGGCUUUGACGGGUAGCCGGCCUGAGAGGGUGACCGGCCACAUUGGGACUGAGAUACGGACCAGACUCCUACGGGAGGCAGCAGUGGGGAAUAUUGCACAAUGGGCGGAAGCCUGAUGCAGCAACGCCGGGUGCGGGAUGACGGCCUUCGGGUUGUAAACCGCUUUCGCCUGUGACGAAGCGUGAGUGACGGUAAUGGGUAAAGAAGCACCGGCUAACUACGUG
rnacentral:rRNA from 1 species